UUUCUUUUUCAUUAGCAAUUUGUUUCGGAAUUAUUUAUAUUUUUUCCACAUUUUUUUUUUGUGGUGAAAUCUACUACACCUUAUAUUUUUAAAAACCUUGAUGGAUGAGGGACCGCAGCCAUCACUGACAUUUCAUUGUGUUUCGUAUUUUCAUGGUGUGAUCAAGCAGCUCUGCGAUUCUGACAGUGAAUUUGCAAGAAAAAAUAAAGAAUUCAGUGAAAUGCAUGGAGAAAAAUCUGCAACGAUUGCCUUUGGCCCGCUGGAGUCUCUUUUGGCUCGGAAGUUUUCGCCUGGAGCUUGUUCCAUCGGUGAUUUGCGCCAACUUGGAAUGGCUUUCAACGAGGUUCGCCGGAAUUUACUUCAAAUUCAUCAAAACAGGGUAAUCAUUGCAAUGCUUUAAAAAAACAGGAGGACGAGGACUCGGAGGGCUCGUCAGGCCUGGCUCCGGAUGGCUCCGUGGAGGUGACGGUUUUCAUUGAGUGGUUAUUUUGCCCGAAGAAAGUGUUUUAGUGUGAAAGCGAGUGUGAAAGUUUAUUGUGGAAUAAAGGAUGAUGUGUUGUAAAUUUGUCA